ACAAAAUGCACAAUUACGCGCAUUGGUGGAUUCUAGUGCCUCAAAUGAGAAUCCUGGCCCCUCUUUUGCUGAUAGUCCAAAAGACAUACAGACACCGGAGCAGUCUGAUACAGGAGAAGACGAGUAUCGAGAUGAUCAUCACCCGCCAGACAGUGAUGGUGAAAGUGAUUCAGAAAUUGGAACUUUGUCCGAGGAGGAAUCAAGUGAUCUAAGAAGUGAUUUGGCAAAAUGGGCUGUAAAAAAUAAGGCAACGCGCACAUCGGUUGAUGAGCUGCUCUUGGUGUUAUGUAAACAUGGCCACCGGCUGCCAAAAGAUGCCAGAACCCUG
ensembl:lncRNA